rnacentral:rRNA from 1 species
AGAGCCGUAACACAGGUGCUGCAUGGCUGUCGUCAGCUCGUGUCGUGAGAUGUUGGGUUAAGUCCCGCAACGAGCGCAACCCUUGUCAUUAGUUGCUACAUUCAGUUGGGCACUCUAAUGAGACUGCCGGUGACAAGCCGGAGGAAGGUGGGGAUGACGUCAAGUCCUCAUGGCCCUUAUAGGUGGGGCUACACACGUCAUACAAUGGCUGGUACAAAGGGUUGCCAACCCGCGAGGGGGAGCCAAUCCCAUAAAGCCAGUCGUAGUCCGGAUCGUAGUCUGCAACUCGACUACGUGAAGUCGGAAUCGCUAGUAAUCGUGGAUCAGAAUGUCACGGUGAAUACGUUCCCGGGUCUU